rnacentral:piRNA from 1 species
UCGUAGCCUGUCGUGCUAUGCUGCUGAUGU